AUACGGAGGCUGCAAGCGUUAUCCGGAUUUAUUGGGUUUAAAGGGUGCGUAGGCGGUUUGCUAAGCGGGAGGUGAAAUGCCGGCGCUCAACGUCGGAAGUGCCUCCCGAACUGGUGGACUUGAAUGACUCUGCCGUGGGAGGAAUGUGUAGUGUAGCGGUGAAAUGCUUAGAGAUUACACAGAACACCGAUUGCGAAGGCAUCUCACGAAGGGUUGAUUGACGCUGAGGCACGAAAGCGUGGGGAUCAAACAGGAUUAGAUACCCUGGUAGUCCACGCAGUAAACGAUGAUGGCUAACCGCUGGGCUUAUCAGUUCAGUGGCCAAGCGAAAGCGAUAAGCCAUCCACCUGGGGAGUACGACCGCAAGGUUGAAACUCAAAUGAAUUGACGGGG
rnacentral:rRNA from 1 species